rfam:Zootermopsis nevadensis contig33100, whole genome shotgun sequence.
AAAACGGCCCUUUUCAGGGCCCCAUAUGAAUCAUUGGUGGUAUUGU